rnacentral:rRNA from 1 species
UACGGGGGGGGCAAGCGUUGUUCGGAAUUACUGGGCGUAAAGGGUGCGUAGGUGGCCAACUAAGUCAGACGUGAAAUCCCUCAGCUUAACUGGGGAACUGCGUCUGAUACUGGUUGGCUUGAGUGCAGGAGAGGAAUGCGGAAUUCCAGGUGUAGCGGUGAAAUGCGUAGAUAUCUGGAGGAACACCGGUGGCGAAGGCGGCGUUCUGGACUGCAACUGACACUGAGGAACGAAAGCCAGGGGAGCAAACGGG